AGGCGCCCAAUUUCGCCUAAAAGCUGCCCACGUCCUGUGGGCAACGGCGAAAUGUCGCCAUCCUGGCUC
rnacentral:sRNA from 1 species